AGUGUCAUAGUGCUCACCAAAGUAUGCAAUAUCAUUUAUAUACACUUUUAUAAAUAUAUAUUUGUUUUUUUUUGUAGAUAAAUAAAAACACUAAUUACGUCCUAUUCACAAAAAAAGUGGGAUCAUGACACAAACCGAAAAAACAUUAUUUACUUUUGCGCCCACAAAAUAUCAAGAUUAUUAAAUAAGCAAUCGAUAAAAGAGAAAGUGUCAACUUUUGAUUUAGAUUGCACUGAUACAAAAAAUCCACUCGGCAUAUGUGAUAAAUGUAGAAAUAAUAUGCAUAAAAAAACUACUUCCGGAUUUAAAGAUAGACUGGACUAAAAACAUUGUUACACAUUUAACCAGAAAUUCUACUAGUUGUCACUGUAAAAUAUGCAAACUAACCAGUCUACGUGGAAGAACCCAAGCAAGAAGAAGUAGUAAGUUUUCCAAGUUGCGUGCACCCCAUGAAAAAUAUGUAAAGUUUGUCUUUCAAACAUUGGGAAGGGAAAGAAGCACAAAUCAUAUGAACAAGGAUCAAAAAGGAUUAAACUUGCUACAGGUGCCAAACCUUUACAAAUAUCAGCAGGAACCUUAACAAUUGAACCUAAACAGAUUACCUUGAUUGGUUUAUUAAGGAUUCAAUCAACACUUUCUUUGUCCAACAAGAAACUAAUACUGCUAGCAGAAGAACUCAGAAUAUCAAUUAAAAGAAAAACUUGCAUACAAGCAAACCUACAAAAAGCACUACCGGUAAUUGAUGAUGCCCUGGAAGAUUUAUUUAUAAUUGAUUAUCAAGAAUUUGAUGUUAAAAAAGGAAAUUUAUAAAUAAGGGAAAAUAUCCCUAUUAUUAAAUGCACCAAUAUUGAGGAGUUUGUAAAGUUGCUUAUUGUGAUAAAAGAAGUGAACUUAAGCAAUCAAACAGUCAAGCUCGGUAUUGAUGGAGGAAGAGGCUUUCUAAAGAACUGUUUAAACCUACUGUUAGAUUGUGAGAACGAAGGUUUAGAACUUGACAAAAACAAUCAUGAAGAAAAAACUGCAAUUAGUUCAUAUGAAGAACCUCAGAAUUCAAAAUAUAAAGAAGGUUCUGUGAAAGCUUCUUUUUUACUAGCUUUAGUUCCGAAUGUUGCUGAAAGACAUUACAAUGUUUCUAUAUUAAUAAACUGUCUUAAUUUAGAUAAAAUAAAACAAUCAUUUGUAGCUGAUCUUAAGCUUUGUCAAAUAAUGUGUGGUUUAUCUUCAAAUGCUAUGGCUACACAACCUUGCUAUGUAUGCGAAUAGAAACGAAUGCAACCAUUUAAAAGAAGAAAAGCUUAGAACUUUUGGUUCUUUAGAGGAACAGUACAAAAAAUUUUCUCAAUCAGGUGCAAUAAAACAAAAUGCUAAAGAAUUUUGCAACGUUAUUAAUCCUCCAUUGAUACACGCAGAAGCCAGUGACUCUUUAGUAGCAGAUUAUAUUUUCCCGCCAGAGUUACACUUAAUGGAGGGAGCUGUUAAUCAUAUUUAUAAUCAUAUAGAGAAAUGUGGUGGUGAAAACGAAGUGGCCAAAGUUUCAAUGAUUUUAAACAUUUCAAAAGAGAACCAGAAUAAUGCCUUUAAUGGCAACGCCUCUCGUAAAAUCCUUAAAAAUUAUGAUAAGUACAUGCGCGCAUUACCAGUUAAUUUAAAGCCAUUGCCAGAGCGACUUAGAAUUUUAAACAAUUUGGUUGAGUCUUGUUCUGGACAAAAACUUCAUAAUGAAACACAUAUUAAAAACUUUGAAGAUCACCACAGAACACUUGUUGAAGACUAAGGAAUAAUUGUUUCAUUGAAAACUCAUUUUAUUAUAAAAUAUAUAGGUGCUUUUUGUGCAGUAAAAGGGCGUGGAUUAGGCUGCUACUCUGAACAAGCUGUUGAAGCAAUUUAUUACAGCUUUGUUAACGAAUCUUGGAAUAGACUAAAAGUUUCCAAAAGUAACAGCUCCUUUUCUGAACAUUUAAAAAAUGCUGUUAUCAGUUUUAACGGAAAAAACCUUAAAAAUAUUGC